rnacentral:lncRNA from 1 species
AACACCAGAAACUAGGAAGAGGCAAGACAAGGAAGGAUUCUCCCCUGGAGCCUUUAGAGGAAGUAUGGCACCACCAAUACCUUGAUCACAGACUCCUGGCCUCCAGAUAUGAGACCUCAUCUCUGCGGUGUGAGCUUCAGUGCACACUGGGUGCUUCUGGGGACCGAUUCCAUGAGUUCUCUCCUCAUUUCCCUCCCUGCUCAUUGGAGAAAACAGCAGACCUGCCCUUGGGUGACAUCACCGCUUUGCAGCGCGGGAGCUGCCUGUCAGACCUUCUGAAGGGAGCUACUGCCUCGUCUGAGCCCUGGAGUGCCACCGCCCCUGCACCAGCAAUGUUUAAUAACAUGAAGAAUACAAAGGCUGGCGAGAUGAGUCACUGGUGCGAGUGACCAGCCAAAUUGAAUCUCCUUUAAUGGAAAGGCCUUAAAAUAAAGAAAUACAAAUGCACUCUAAUUUCCAGUUUUAGUGGGAAAUGAAAUGUAUUUCCAGGGAGCAUGCCCACAUGUGCUUCUUUCUGGUGGAUGCCAUAAAACACCUCUGAACCUGAAUUAGGGUCCAAAUUCUUUCUUCACCCAGUGUUUGGCAAAUUUCAGCAUUUGCAUGCCAUCUUCCCUAAUUUCUUUGCCCUACCUGCGUGCCUCCUGUGUUAUUAUUUACUUUCUAGUUUUCUGUGAUUCACUUUUGUUACUCAAAUACCUUGGCUUAAAAGUGAAAAACAGGCCGGGCGCGGUGGCUCACGCUUGUAAUCCCAGCACCUUGGGAGGCCGAGGGGGGUGAAUCAUCU